UAAUACGUAGGUGGCGAGCGUUAUCCGGAUUUACUGGGCGUAAAGUGGGUGCAGACGGUUUUUCAAGUCGGAUGUAAAAUCUCUCAGCUUAACUGAGAGGGACCAUUCGAUACUGCUAAGCUAGAGGACAACAGGGGGAGGUAGAAUUCCCGGUGUAGUGGUGAAAUGCGUAGAUAUCGGGAGGAAUACCAGUGGCGAAGGCGGCCUCCUGGGUUGUUUCUGACGUUCAUGCCCGAAGGUGUGGGGAGCAAACAGGAUUAGAUACCCUGGUAGUCCACACUGUAAACGAUGGACACUAGGUAUAGGGAGUAUCGACCCUCUCUGUGCCGAAGCUAACGCGUUAAGUGUCCCGUCUGGGGAGUACGACCGCAAGGUUA
rnacentral:rRNA from 1 species